UACGUAGGGGGCAAGCGUUGUCCGGAUUUAUUGGGCGUAAAGGGCGUGUAGGCGGCUUUACAGGUCCGUUGUGAAAACUCGAGGCUCAACCUCGAGACGCCGGUGGAAACCGUAAGGCUAGAGUCCGGAAGAGGAGUGUGGAAUUCCUGGUGUAGCGGUGAAAUGCGCAGAUAUCAGGAAGAACACCUAUGGCGAAGGCAGCACUCUGGGACGGUACUGACGCUGAGACGCGAAAGCGUGGGGAGCGAACAGG
rnacentral:rRNA from 1 species